CUACUAGAAUUAGUCUGAUUGCUUCGAGGAAAGAAUCGUAGCUGCAAAUGUCUUGUCUUUCUCAUCUCAUUGCUACAAAACCACCCAAGCCAGCCAUUAGUGGAUAGAUAGUUGGUGUGGAGAGUCUUUUCCUUUUCUUUCUUGCUUGGAGAGAGAGAGAGAGAGAGAGAGUCUUAUUGGAUGAUGAGUCUGUUUCUUCUUGACAACCCUUCCCCCACAAUGAUCUCUUCAAAGUUCACAACCUAUUCCUAAUGUGAUCUGAAUCCUAUCACAUGAUAAUGAAUUGUUAAACUAAACAAAGUCAGAGCUGUCACCAAAAUCAAAUCAGAGUUCAAAAUAAUCUGCUCAAAACAUUUCAAAAACAACAAUUGUUUUCAUCACAUCAAAAUAAUCAUAAUUAAAACUCAUAAAAUACUCAUCGACCCUUAGUGGCUUUCUUGUUUAUGUACCUGCAUGAUGACAUGCAACCUCCGUCACUAGAUGGCUUUCUUGUUUUCAUUCGCAUGGCUAGUGAAUGCGGGUGCUGAGUGAAAGGCAAUGACCUACUAUGGUUGCCAACCUUGCCAUAGGCAGCAAUGCGGUUGCUUUUGACCAACUGUUACACAGCAGACGCUUUGCAAUUCACAAAGGCUACGACAAUGUUGUUAGCCACAGUCGACAUCGACGGGUUAUCGAUCGACCGCAGAGGUAGUUCGGGUCGCAACAUAAUAUUAUAAACUCGAUAUUCAAAUUAAUUCUAUGUAAAUCAUUACAUAUAAUUCUAAAAUUAAUUAUUAUAUAAUCAUAAAAUAUACUGAAUUUAUCAUUAUGAAAGAAAAAUAAUAUCAUAACUCAUGAAAUCCAGAUAGUGAAUUUAUUAAAUGUUCGGUAGUCAAAUUAUUAUAAGUUUUUUUAUUAAUUAAUCUUAAUUAUUUUUAAAUAUAAUAUACUAGUCAGCUUAUUCAAAUCAUAUUUAUUUUUAUUUAUAUUAUGAUGAAUCUUGAAUGUGCUAAACUGAGGAGAAAGAAAAUUAAGAAUGAACUACGUUGAAAAACUCAUUCACAUUCAUAUCUAAAUUUUUAAGUUUUGUCAUCUUAUCAGUUAUAUCAAUAAUCGGAUCAUGAAUCCCUCAAGUGUCAUAAUUCUAUAAUACUAAAUCGUAGUCGAUUCUUUUAUUUAUAUGUUAAUCAAUAAUUUAUUAAUAGAUUUAUAUUUGUUUUCAAUAGUCGUAUAAUAUUCUUGUGCGUCAUACGCAAUAAUGAUAUAUUGAUGUUAUUUAUAAUUGUUAUUAUCAUAAAUAUCAGACUGAGUCUAUUAGAUCUUUUGUAAGAAUUUUUUUUAUUAAUUUAUUUCAUAGUGUUUUGAUCGGUAAGUUUACAAACUUUUCAACAAGUAAUCUUAGAUCACGAUCUAAUAUAUCCGGUAUGAACCGCAUAUGUUAUAACCAUUAUGAAUAACUUAAAUUAGAAAAUGCAAAAACACCAUAAGCAAGACAAUGUAUGGAAAGAAAUACCAUUAUAAAAUAUCAAAUAAUAAUAAUGCUUUGGGUUUUGAUGAACUAUCGAAAUAAUAGUAAUUGAACUUUUGGGUGAGAUAUCUAGUAUUCUCUUAAGAUUAUUUGUGGACGACUAAUAUGAUUCUUAUGGAAUAGUAUUAUUACCAUUAGAUAUACAUUACUAAACUAUAAGGAUAUCUAAAUAAUAUUAUCCUAGCAUAUUAUAUAAUUAUUCGAAAUAUAUUCACUUUUAACAUAUUAUCUAAUUAUUCGAAGUACUAUUAUAAUUAUUAUUAUUUAUAUCAUUUAUAACUAAUUCUUUGAUGUAAUUUUAUAAAUUAUUAUUCUAAGCCACUUUUGUGACUAUAAGACCAAUAAAAUAAUAUAAACUAUAGUUUAAAAUAUUUUAUAAUUAAUAAAUUUUAUUUUUUUAUAAUUUGUAUCUCUAUAUGUCUAUCAUCUUAGGUCAUUUUGGUAGUUACAAUUUGGAUAAAACUUAAGGAUAUAAAUUAUAAAUAAUAUUUAUUAAAUUUUAUUUAAUCUAAUUUAUUUAAAAAUACUUUAAUAAUAAUAAAAUAAUAACCAUAAUAAUUAUUAUAUAUUAAUCAUCUAUUGAUUGUAAUUACGAUAAAACAUAAAUCAUGGUUUUCUGUGAAAAAUAAAUAUUAUUUCACAAUCAUAUGCAUGCAAUUAACUAUAUAAAUAUCUAAUAAUAAUAAUUAAAAUUUAAUUAUUAUAAGAAAAAAAAAUUUAUGAAUAUAUCAUAUUUUUUUAAUCAUGUAAAUGAGAUAGAUGAGCUAAUCAAUCUUAUUUAAUUGGGCAUCCCAAAAUUGAGUCAAAAAUUAGGUUGUCCAUAUUAAACCGAACAGUCAAUCCCAUCAAACUAAUCAAAAUUAGAUUCAACCAAAAUUCAAUUUAAAAAUAGAUUGAUAAAAAAAUUAGGCGAAAAUUGAGCUUUAGUCAAAAUUUGAUUAAAAUAAGUCAAAUUGAUCCAUUUUACAAUUGGGGACAUAAGUAAAAAAUAUUUUAUUUUCGAAUUAUAAAUCUAUCAUGGGGUAACACGGAUUGGAAUUAAAAUAUUUACAAUGGUAAAAUAGUCUUUUAUUAAAUUUAAAAAUCCUAAUGUCAUUUCUUUCUUCUCAAUUGCCUUAGCCUAUGCUUAUGCGAGGCUUAUGGUCACUGUAAUGCACCACGAUGCAUAACUAUUCGUCGCUUGUGCAUCACUGAUCCGAACACUCCAUGGCAUAUUUGUGACUCUACAUCAUGGCACUGGUAUCUAUGGCCGACAGCUCUUCACCGGUGACCAACAUUGCCCAAUGAUGUAGUAAUGCUACCACCCCCGGAUUGGCAUGCACAAAUGUGUUACCUCCAUAUCUGACGUCAACCACCAUCGCAUGUUGCUGAUCGACACCCAAAAAGGCCAACAACCAUUGGAGGUUGCUGCUUGCCGCUAUCGAUGCUUGUUAGCAACCGUCUUCAUCGCCCUUAUUGUUGUUGGUUGAGGCCAAAGCCCAAUAACACUACUACCUUUGUUGAGCUGCAUCGCUUGUGGCCAAAUCCUAUUAUCAUAGGCAACAACAACGCCAUCCAAGGCAUCCGCAUCCCACGGUGGCAACCACCACAAUUAGUAGUGCCAUUGUAGCACUUACACUGUCAAGAUUGCUGCACACAGUAGUUGCCCAUCUAGUAUAGAUAGCCCACUAGUCAAAUAAGGGUAGCAUCUCAUCCUCGGCUCUACUUGCAAAAAGCAAAGAAUUUUGAAUCACCCGUAAACAUAUAAUAAGACAAAUUAGAUAGAAAAAUAUAUCGAUAAACACAAAUGAAUCAUUCAAGAAUCAUAAAAACAAGAUUAAAUAUAACAUUUCCCAAAUUAUAAGUAAAUUUAAUAUAAAAUAGAUCUAAUAAGCAUAAAAAUUAAUUUAAAAAUAUAUCUAAUAUCACCUUUUAACGAUAUAAGGUAUUUGACUUCAAAGUAUUAGGUUCUAAUACCAAUUGUAAAUAUAAAAAAUAUAAUAAUAUUAUAAUUAUGUAAAAAAUUGAAAUCAAAUAAAAAUAUAUCAAGAUAAAAAAAAAAUGUACAUUUUGAUAUCAUUUAAAAAAUAUUUAUUGAUUUUAGAAUGUGUUUCAUACACAGAGUGUGAACUAUACAUAUUCUAACCAUUCAGAAUAAUUUGAACCAGAGUAUAAGGACACGAGAAGAAUGAGAGUGCAGGGAAGGAAGUAUCAUAGUAAAAUUUAAAAUAAAUUUAAUAUUUUAAAAUUUUAAAAUAUGAUGAACUAUUGAUAUUAUUCAUAUUUCACCUCUAGGUAAAAUAUUGAUAUAUAUGGUGUUCGCUAAAAAAUUAUUUAUGGAUAAGUAAUACUAUCCUUGUGGAAUAAUAUACAAUUUAAAAUUAUCAUGAUAUUCAAAAUAGUAUCAUCAUAUCAUGGGUUUAUCUAAAUCCCAUAAUUAUGUGUGUCAUUAUAAAUAUUAUUUUUUAUUAAUAUAAUUUAGGAUCAAUUCUUUAAUAUAAUUUCAUAAAUUAUUAGUGUAGGAUGACUGUAAGACUAAUAUAAUAAUUUAAAGUAUAAUUUAAAAUAAAUAUUUAUUAUAAUUCAUAUCACAUAAGCCUAUCAUUUGACACUAUUUUGGUAUAUACAAGUUAAAUAAAACUUAGAGAUAUAAAUUAUAAAUAAUAUUUACUAAAUAUUUUUAAUUUGAUUUAUAUAAAAAUAACUAAAUAAUUAUAAAUAAAUAUUAAUUAUUAAUCAACAUAAAAAAAACUUAUGCGAUGAAUAUAAUCAUGAUAAAACAUAAAUAAUAUCUUUAAGCAAAAAAAUUAUUUCAUAAUUUUAAACAUAUACAUGUGAAUAACUAAAUAAAUAUCCAAAAUAAUAAUUAAAAUUUAAAUAUCAUAAAUAAUAAAAAAAAUAUAUAAUAUUUCAUAUGAGAAAAUUAUAAUUUAUAAUAUUUUAAAAUUUUGUAUGGAACUCUAAAUUAAACUAGUAAAUUCUACAUCAACCCAAUUAGGUUAGUCAAAAUUAAAACUAAGUAAAAUAAAAAAAUUAAUCAAGAUUUAACUUUUUCCAAAUUCGGUCAAAAAUAAAAUUGAUUGAAUCUAAAUGUAGUUGAGUAGUCAAAAUACAAUCAUAAAUAAGUUCGAUUAAAAUUAUUUGAUUAAAGUUGAUCAAAUUAUUUUAUUCUAUAGUUCAUGACAUAAGUAAAAAAUAUAUAAUUUUUGAAAGUUAGAACUAUCAAAAGGAUAUUGACAAGAAGUAAAUGGGUUCAAAAAGACAAUCUUUUAACAAUUGAAAACCCAUAAUUUUUUUUUCUUUUUCUCAACCAUCGUAGCUUACACAACGCAUGCUGCUAGUGUAGUGUGUGGUUGUCCGUCGCCUAUGUGCCUCCUAUGAUUGUUGAGGAAUGUGACCAACCGACGAGCCCUACGAUCGUCGAGGUGUGCACAACUGUUCUCACGCGGUCGACUAACAACGUGUUGCCACCACUUGCAUUGACUUUAUUGCACGCAGUCGUUCGCUAUCUAUGCACAAUUGCCUUGAACUACCUCUAUGGCCAAUUGACGACCCAUCAAUGCCGACCAUGGCCAACAAUGUCAUCGCAACCUCUGUGAAUUGCCACGCAUCUAACGUGCAACUGUUGAUCAAUGACAAUGGUAUUGCUGCUUGUGGCAAGAUUGGUAACCAUCAUACAUCAUCGCCUUUCGCUUAGUGCCUACCUUUGCAAGCCAUGUGACCAAUAGUAACUAUGUCAACCCAGCUUCGACCCACGUCAACGUAGCCCGUUAUUGAUGAUCGCUUUUAUUCCUUCCUAUCACCACACUUUGUCGCAACAAUCCUAUCCUACUACGACCCCUUGACCCACAAGUGAACAAAACUAAUAAUGGCAUACUGACAUUUAUUACUGAUCAUAGUAGGUUGUCACCCUUCAUAAUAUUGUAUUCAACAACAAGCUAUUCACUAUAUCCAGUCGAUCAAAAUCGAGCAACAUGCUUCCAUCUACAAUUCCUCUCAUGUGGGUGGAAAACACCUUCAUCACUUGCAAAUAGAUGACCAAGGUGAGCAAGAUAAAAUAAAUAGAUUUGAUCGCCUAGACAAAUGGAAAAAACACAGAAUAGAUAUAAUACAAAGCAUAUUAGGAUAAAAUAAAUAGAUUUGAUCACCACAAAUGGGAAGAAUAGAUCUAAUACAAAACAUAUUUAAUGCUUUUAUGAUAUAUGAUAUUUGAUUUUGAAAUAGACUCUAAAAAUAAUUGUAUGCAUAAAAACUACAAUCAUGCUACUAUGAGAUAGAAUUUACUAAUAGAAUCAAAAUAACAUAUCUUUCGAUACUAUUCAAAAUUUUUUUGUUUGAUUCACAAGUACAUUAUUGUCGGAUCCGAAAGCUAUAGCGAUGUCGACCUAUAAGGACAAUAAAACUCGUAUUAUUCUCUAUUCGUAUAUUUAAUAAAAUGAUUAUAAACGAUGAAAUAGAGAUAAGACGGUUGAUAAUAAAUACAUCUCAUAUCAUUAUAGUUUUUAGGAGAUCUUAUCUAUUUAUAAACGAUAACAAAAGAUAUAGGCAAAAAAAAAAGAGUCACUUAUCUUUUCAGAAAUCCUAUCAUAAAUAAAUUUCUUUUUCGAUGAUCAUAAUCAAAUUUUAAUUAAAUUUAAAAUAUAUCUUAUCUAAUUAAAUAAAAUUUUAUCUCAUCCACUUCCUUCAGUUUACUUUAACAUGAGAGCCAUUUGAACAAGAAUAUUAAGAUGCAAAUACUUUAUAAGAAAGUCUGAAAAUUAAACCUAUGUUGGCCCGAGGUUACCCGCGUCACACGAAAGCAAGAUUAAAUUCACUUUUCCGACGAACCACGGUCCGCCAUUAAUGUGCGUUCCAGAUUCGAGAGGAUUCGAGAAAGCAUACCUUGGAAUUCGAGAGGAGGGGCACGGCACGGCCCAUGAACUCUCUCUCUCUCAUCCGGCCUUCAUGUACUUGUGCCAUGUGCUUACCUUAAUAAGCUCGCUCAUGAGGUCGGUACAGUCGAGGGAGGAGUCUCGCAAGGGGAAGGGCCCAAAUGUGACGGAGAUUUCGAGUGGAAAGGGCCAAAAGGAGAAGUAGAUGUCCAAGGCAAAGGGCCGGCUGAAGGCGGCCAAGUCGAGGGAGGAGUAUCGCAAUAGGUGUUGCCUCCGGACCAUUCCAUGUUUUCAAUACGCAGAUCCAAUUGUCUGCUCCAGACGAACAUCUGGCGCUCUCGUCCCGCGGCCCUCGCGAGGCACGCAGGCGGAUGUAUAGGGUCGUCUUCUUGGUGGCUCUUUGCCCCCCCACCCCCACCGAACCCUAAAUCGCGUGACCUACUGACGGGCCGUCGUCGGGAGAUCCAGCGGAACUAAUGUGCACGAUCCUCGGCGCCCUCGUACCUUCAGUGUGCUGGCUCCUGGAUCGCCGUCGACGCAGGAGGCGAUAGCGGGGAUUCAUUCGCCAGAGAUGUUGCCACGGUCGACGUCGACGGAGGCGUGGCAAUCCGUGUACUAUUCCUUUUGUCUCCACCCCCGAUCAGGUUUUGGUAAGUAAAACCCGAACUCAUCGUAAUUGUCAGUGGUCAAACUCAAUUCGAUGUCGUGCACCCAAAAAGUCCGAUUCGGAAUUGCGUUCUCUUAGCAUAGAGCUGCGGCAACUUCCACUUCCAUUAUGUGCAGUAAAGAAGGAAAUAUGUGUUUUUGGCCCGAGUUAGUAAUGACCAAUUUCGUAAGAAAGAAGAGAGAGACAACAGAGAAUUCUAUUACUUUUCUAUAAAAGGCUUAUAGAAUAGGUGCUUUAAAUAGGCCUCCAAUUAGGAGUUGUGUACACGGCAACAACUCAAAAUGAAGAUUUUGAAUUUUAAUCCUAAUCUUAUCUAAAGAAAAGUUCUAAAUCAAUUCUAGAAAGAAUUGUUACAGAGGGAGAGAAUCAUUAGAAAAAAAAUUAUAGAUUAAUAAUAAAAAAAUAAAUUAUUUAAUAUAUGAAAUCAAAACUUUUCUUUUUCAUCUCUCAUA
rnacentral:lncRNA from 1 species